CACACCUCUUUAUUGCUCCAAUGAAAGCUUGCGUUCUCCAUCCCGUCACCAUGGUUAUGGGACACACCUCUUUAUUGCUCCAAUGAAAGCUUGCGUUCUCCAUCACGUCACCAUGGUUAGGGGACACACCUCCGUCACACCUCUUUAUUGCUCCAAUGAAAGCUUGCGUUCUCUCUCCUGUUACCAUGGUUAUGAGACACACCUCCAUCACACCUCUUACUUGCUCCAAUGAAGGCUUGCGUUCUUUCUCCCAAAAGCUUACGCGAUCGAAGUGAUCGUCAUUACGGUUAACAUGUUCGUCUUCACUUCAAAUUUUCACGUAAAGCGACCAACCGCUUUGCAUACAUUGGCUAUUUCUCCUUCUAUUAACGGAGAGAUAGUUCUGUUUUAUUUUGGAGAUCCUGUGCUAUCCUUUUAUAGGGUGGUUUUCUUUCAAGUCUUUUCGACCGACUUUGAGCUCGUCCAGAAGAGGCACCAAAUGUAAAGCCCUAUGGAGGAAUAUUGGCCCUCAGUUGUAUUUGUGAAGACCUCUGGAAAAUAUUCUCUAAAGUGGCCGUCGGGCUUGGUAAUAAGUUAUUAUUUGCAGUUAUAGCUGAGUUCAUUUGCAGCAAUGACAUUAACAAAAUGAACGAGAGAUAGUUGAUUUCAUUUUAAUAAAUUUAAUUUAAAUUUAGGGUGAUGUGGUAGGCAUGGCAAUCCUGUCCACUGUGGUGGCCACAUCCACCACGGCUACCACAGCCCCCUCUCUUCCUCCGCACUUAAAACACUCUUUCUGAAUCCCUGUAAGGAAAAAAAAA